GCCCAGAUGACAUUUUCCAUGGAGACUUUACUGACAGAAUCAAAAUUACAUGAAGUAUUGCAUUUUUAAGGCAGUGGUAUGUGUGCAGUCAAAAAGAGGUACGUUCUGCUCUGGCUGGGUAAAAUGCUUCCAUUUAAAUCCCAUCACUUGUAAGGCUCUGUGCAACAAACAUACUCGUGCACUCAUAAAACUGAGGGGUUGGGAAGCAACAGUGACAUUUUCUUGAACUAACAAGAAAGAUGUGAUUAAAACCAUAGCUGCAGACAUGGAGCAGAAAACUUAGGUUGAUACCCAAGAGACAGCGGUGGUAGAUCUUUUAGUGAAGGAAGGAGGGAGUGGAGGAGUGUUAUAUGGGAGGGAACAUCCACGUCUGCACUCAAGACCUACCAGUCUUGAGAGGUUUCUGGGUGUGGUGGAUUGAAACUUAUACAGUAGGCACAAGAAAUGUUUUCUGACGAUUUGCCAAAUUUCACAUGGAGGUAGAUGCACAUGCUUCACUCCUUUAGACAGCAUUCAAAAAGCACUGAAGGAAUGUGGCAGUCCAAGUCCCUACCAUAUCUGUGCUUGCUUACUUCCAUUCGAUGAACGUUAUUCUCAUUCUUCGCAACAGUGAAGAGCAAGAAAGCAUACACCACUUCUCAGUCACCCAAAGGCAUUUUUAGAAUUAAACAAAAGCAAGGGGCAAAAGCAUUUGCAGUUUUCCUGUUGCAACUCAGACUCGUGUUCACAAGACUUUACCAGAUUCACCACAUUUUUGAGGAGCUGUUACCUAAAAUGAGUCUAACCAGGAUCCUUCUUCUGCACCAUGGCAAGCACAUCAGACCCCAACUGACUCUUUGCUGAAUUUUGUCUCAUUGGUGUGCAAAGACCUCUGUAAAGUGUCAAGGGCUAAUUCUGCAAUCCUGGUGACCCCAGGACAAGCAAACCACACCAAAAUUGAAAUAGGUCCUCUGCACCUUGAAGGGACUGCCCCAAUGGAGGUGACCCAGGUAAUCAUCCACUGCUGCCAGUCCACUUGUUAGGAGUGAGUGUGAUCAGGGUUGUGGAGUGUUACUGGGACGGGUUUGGGGAGGGACUGUCACAGGAUGAGGUAGUUCUGGAUCCUAACACACGUUUCUGAGAGCACAUGGGACCUUUCCAUCACGUCAGAAUUAGCUUUUGUAUAAACAGUUCUGUACUUGAAGAGACCAGAGGGUGUUAUGUACUUCCUUCCCUUGCUCCCAAGAAGAUACAAACCUCACAUAAAAUCUGGGCUAAGAUGUUUUCGGCCUUAAAAUCAGUAAAAACUGUGCUGAGUGAUGAGACAGCAAACCCCUUGUGUUCUGGGAAAUGACUGCAUGAGGUCCUUGGUACUAAACUAUCCAGACUGCCCUCUGUCUAACAAACUCUUAUCUUUGCAGCUACUGGAUAUUUAAUGAAACUCCGGUCUUUAUAUAUUUGCUUUAAUUCAUUCUUUUUGCAUGUGACGCUGUGUGUUAGAGAGCUACCCUUACUAGUUUUCCCAGUACAUUUUUGAUGGCUAUGUUGCUGUAUGUCCCGUGGUGGGGCCAUCCAGAACUGGGGGUUGAAACACCACCCUCCACCGUACCUUCCUAUGCCCUUUGGUGCCCUUCCUCAGUUGUGCCGGGAGUUGGGGGCCAGAAAGGAUACAGUGACCACGGUGGUGGUCAGCAGGUACCUCUGAUCCUUGUACAGUCUUUGUUCCUGUUCCGAUCUGAGUAAGUUCAGCUCUCCUUAUGCAAUCAGUCAGCCCGGAGGCAGCACGGUGUGGAUCACGACCUGUGUCACAAAACUUCACUCAUUUUCCUCAAGCCCAAGCAGUGUAGGGCUUCUUUAAUUUUUUUUUAUAUCAGAAGCCUGCAGCCUGAUGAUUCAUCAGCACGAAGUUUGAUGACUCCAAGCCUCCAGUGUUGUUUUCUCUUCUAAAGUUACAGUGACUGAUUAUGGUAUCCAUGUGGCAAGCUAAAGAGUAAAUUUCUAAAAAGAUGGUGCACUGGAGCUGGAAGACUCUUCUCCAGCCUCACGUUGAGUAAGGAAGCAUAGGUCUGGUGUGUCAUCCACCUUUAAUAUAAUCAGAUGUCCCCUUGGAGACUAUGAGUACCCACAGAUUACAUGCCAUGCAGUACGUUCCUGCAGAAGGAUAUGAGUACGAGACCCUUUUGAGGCUUUCUUGGCAGAUGAUGUCAGCAUUUUCCUGUCCUGUCCACAGAGAAGUGCUCAGUGUAACCAAAUAUCAGCCCUUUUCCCAGCACCCGGGAUGAGCUGUAGUGCAUCGCAGCUACACCAUCCUCUGGCUUGGAGCAAUCUAGAUGAUGGUACAACUUGAUGUGUCCCUUACACCAGCCUAUGAGAAAAGGGCUGUAUGUAAGUCUGUUCUGCCCCAGGCAGGAAUCUGCAGAGGUAAAGCAGGGAAUGACAGCAGCAUACCAAAGUUGGCAAAACAAACAAACAAACAAACCCCCCCAAAAACCAAAACAAAACAAAACAAACAAAACAAAACAAAACAAAACAAAAAACAACAACAAAAAAAAACCCAAGCAUGUCUUAGCUUUCCCUCCAGCUUAAAAGAUAGGUCUCAGAGGGCCAUAAGCAGAAAUUCAGAGUACCCAGGAUUGGUACAUAUAAAAGCAGCUAUGGACAACCAAAAAGCAAAGAGAGAGCAAAGAGUAACAUUCCUUUCCUGCAAGUGCAAAGCUAAUACUUCCUAUCCUGUUUAAUAGCUAUGCUUAAUUUACUUUGUUUUCCACUUGGCUGUGAAAGCACUGCUGUAAGACGACGGACUACAUUUAAAUAUCUGUACUUAAUUUCAUUCUUCCCCUUCCAAUUAAAGUUUCAGUGGAGAUAAAUUUCUGAUGGAUAGGUUUUAUGGGCAUUGACUAUCUGCAUCUGGUAUAAUUUAUUGCUGGAUACUGUCUUAAAGGUAUACAUGCUAACCAAGGAAAGCUAAGGUACAGACCUGGCUUUAUUUAGUAGCUUGAACUUGAGUUUCACUGAGUGGUUAGUAGAGAAAAUGUUACAUUGUGAGGUUUUUUUCCCCUCCACCUAUAAUAUUUUACUUUGAUUAAAGCUGCACUAAGGUAAAAUUGCGCAUCUCACGCAAAAAGCAAUUUACCUCUGCUCUUAUUGAAGUUAACCAUACUUAUUUGUCCUAGCAUAAUGCAUUUUUUCCAGCUGCAUUCUAGCUGCAGUGCUAUAUCAUACGAGUCAAGCUAGAUUUAAUCAGAUUUAGUUUAUGUUGUGAAUUUUAAGAUGUUCGUUCAAUUAGUUGGAAUAAAAGUAGAACAUUUGGAAGAAAGAUUAAGGUUGAAAAAUGCUGGUGUUGAGCUGGGCAUUCAGUGCUCCUCCUGCACCUCUCUCACCCUGAGGCAUACCUCAGGCUUGAAAAGGCUCCUGCUUUUGUGUUUCUCUUCUUUAUGUUUCUACAGCUCCCGAUGACAUUCACAGGAUGGGGAUGGCUACUGUCAUUUUAUCAGGUUGCUGCACCCAGCUGUCACUGAAACUAGACGUAUUCCUCCAAAGUGGCUUUGCAGAGAAGAUGCUGCCCAGAGAAGAGAGCUGGCUGGACAGGCUGCUGCCAUGUCCCCUCAGGACCGCGAGAUCACCUCCACCUUCGCAGAAGUGACAGAAGAGAAUGGGGCACUCACUCCUCACCCACAUUGGUACUUAGCAUAGCUUAACUGUUGUGGUCCUCUUGGACCUGGGAUGCGUUCAGAUGCAUGAUGUGGAUCAGUGUCCCUUGGAAAUGCCUGUAAGCUUGGGAACACCUCUGCAGAGCUUGAGGGCCUUUUUCCUAGGCUUCUUGCAUUUUGCUCCAAGAUAGAUCUGCAAACAGCUCUGCAUCUGUGUUUCAGGAGCCAAGUGCUGCUCACUGGAAAUGAAGAUCUCUGUGAGAUGCUCAUGGAAAUGGCCCAGGAGGCAAGCUGCAUUUUUGAGAGGGUCACAAGUACGUUAAAUGGUUGAUUUAGGUUCAGGUUGAGCAAAGAAGGCCUUACUAGUUUUCAGUGACCCUUUUUGCAUGCAAGAAAGAAAUACAAACUCCUCUUCUGUAUUAAUUAAGUCCUGCGGUGCCAUACGUCCACUGCUACAGCUAUUGCUUUGGGCUUAGAGAGAUUCACAAAAGCUGCACAGGAGAGGUUUGGGAGGCAGUGGUAGAGGAGAUUUAGCAUACUACAAGGGGUAAAUUUCCCAUGGGGAAUCAAGCCUCCUGGUCUCACCAGCCCUAGAAACUCCUGGAAUCCUGGAGGAAGGCCAGCAUCUUGCCUCGGUGACAUCUCAGCAUUCAGCCUGAGUGCCAGCAGUGCUCUCCUGCACUGGCAGCAUACAGAGCUCCUUCUGCUUUAUAGUUGUACCUGAUAGUAUGUGUGCCUGUUGCUUGCUUGUGCACAUUUUCAUGCUCAGCUCACAGCUACCCAGUGCCACAAGCUGACACUGCCCAUGGUUACAUGGAAUUUCAAUAGGAAUGGCAACACAGCACAGAGGAGAAAAGCAGGCCGUAAGAGUUAUUUCAAGCAGAUGUUGGUUAUAGCUGCUGGUAGCAAAAGUAAGUCAUCAAAAGCAAAUACAUAUAUAUAUCUUUAGAGAAAUAAACAACAUCUGCACCUGACAAGGGUUUGGUAAUUUCUCAGCAGUUCCCUAAGCAGAAUAAGAGCUUUAUGGACAGAAGGUUUUGCAUAAAGCAGUUGUUGUUUACACCUGAAACUGGUGUACAAAUAAAGCUGUCACUCUUUGCUGCCAGUCCUCCUUCACUCUGAGCCAAACGAGCCUGUAGAGCUGUACAACAGCAUUCCCUGCAAUUGUUCCACUCAGGUGUAGCUUUUUAUACUCAUUUGUCAGCAGUUGUCCAGGUCAACUCCCACGCUGAGCCACAUUUAAUCCAACAAAGAAAUAUGUUAAGAAAAGCAAGGAGGGGAUUAUCCAGAAAGAGGCACUUUGGCUUUGUCCUAACCUGCCUUGGGUGGAAAAGAGAGAGCAUGAAGCUUGUUUUCUGCUUUGAAUUGCCUUCCAGGGGAGUUCAGCUUUUUCCAUUGACUUCAGCCAUGGUAGCUGCAAGUUGGCUCUUGGUCUGGUAGAACCACCUGGCUGUGGCUGUCAUCUCCAGUUGCAUUACUUCAUCUUUCUCAUUAAGCAGCAAUCAAGUAGAAGACGUCUCCACCAGGAGAAUGGGAUGAGAAAGUGACAUGCCAAUGGAGGGGACAUGACAAGGGGACGAAGGGAUGAAAGCCGUGCAGAUGUUGAUGCUGGCUGGGAGCUCACAGGAGCUGGAAGAAGGGUGAGAAGAGAGAAAAACAUGAGAGAGGCCAGACAGAUGCAGGCUGGAAUGACUUGAGGAAGGGAAUGAAAAGCAGAAAGGAAAGUGGUGGUUGUAGGAAGUAUCAUUAUGCUGUGCUGCAUAAUUGUAAUGCACUGUUGUCAUUGCUACUCUUCAAAAAUCACAUUCUAGACCUCAGAAACUCUCAAACUUAGCUUAAAUACCUAGAGACUGCUUAAAAACAAUACCUUCGACCCUUUUUCUUUUUGCUUCUCAUUAUAAAAUUAGAAUUCUAGUCAUGUCUUUGGGCUUUUUUUUUCUAGAAAUUAACAUUUGAGAAAACAAUUCUCAGCGAACUGUAUGACUCAGAGAACUCAGGCUUUAGGGAAAAAUCACACAUCACAAACUUUACCAAAAAAUAGAAAGCAUUAGAAAGUGAGGAUUGUGUUUUCUCUGGAGGUGCCCCUUGAGGUUCCU
ensembl:lncRNA